rnacentral:rRNA from 1 species
AACAAACGCUGGCGGCGUGCAUAACACAUGCAAGUCUAACGGGAAUGUCGGCUUCGGCUGGCUAGUACCGUGGCGAACGGGUGAGUAACACGUGGGUAAUCUGACCUCGAGUUUGGGAUAACCUUGCGAAAGCGGGGCUAAUACCGAAUAAGACCACGCUCAGUUCGCUGGGUGCGGUAAAAGGUGGCCUCUGCUUGAAAGCUAUCACUUGAGGGUGAGCCCGCGGCCUAUUAGCUAGUUGGUGGGGUAAUGGCCUACCAAGGCGACGAUGGGUAGCCGGCCUGAGAGGGUGUACGGCCACACUGGCACUGAGACACGGGCCAGACUCCUACGGGAGGCAGCAGUGGGGAAUUUUGCGCAAUGGGGGAAACCCUGACGCAGCAACGCCGCGUGAGUGAUGAAGGCCUUCGGGUCGUAAAGCUCUUUUAGUGGGGAAGAAUCCCACCCGGGCUAACACCUCGGGUGUCUGACGGUACCCACAGAAAAAGUUCCGGCUAACUACGUGCCAGCAGCCGCCGUAAGAC